GUAUUUGAGCCUGGCUCAUAUCCAUAUGCGGUUAGUAUGUAUCAUAAUAGAAAGAAAUGGUUAUGUGGGUUUAGCAGUUUUAUACUUAUAACUGGUUUUGUAUUAGGGGGUGCUCCUACUAAUAUAUGCACACAUAUGUAUAUAAUGUUCAAUUGAGAGCCACAUACAUGCUGAAAGAUAGGAGAUCCACAUGAAACAUUCUGCUUACUUAUUGCUUCAUUUGUGACACAUUAGUUCCUUAUCCUUUCUCAGCAAGUCAAUUCAGCCAUAACAUCAUCAAUGUAGUCCAACCAUGUAUGUUCACUAUUACGCUUCUCUUUGCGGUCUUCUUUUAUUCGAGAGGUUGAACCAAACUUUUAGAAUGGAAAGAUUGCAACGUGACAGGGGCAUAUGGACAACGACAAUAACAAUGAAGGCUCUAUACUUUUGUCUUAUUUUGUACAACAAUAAAAAUUUUCUAAACUUUUUUUAGAACAACGUUAAUUAUAUGCACAAUUUUCAGUUGGCAUGCAUACAUACACAUAUUCUACGUGUUAUGGUUCUUUAUUU
rnacentral:lncRNA from 1 species